CCUCUUUUCUUUUUUAACAAAAAAUGCCCCCGUACUUUAUUUGGUAAUUUAACGGCACGUAAUUUAAAUCAAUAUAAAAUUCAAAUACUUUUGUGCCACCUGUUGGAUUUUGCCACUAAUUACAUGUAGCUUGAAAUGCUACAUGAACUGCUGUGUUCAGCCUGGGAAGUGUUGCCCUUAGUGCCACCGGGUGCCCUUACGAAAAUACUACUUUGUUUGUUAUUUUGAAAUAUUUUCUCCCUGGGCACACAGAUAGAGCUGUUUUAUUCCUCAUAAAAACCUAACCUAUAAAUUGCAGACUGCAUUCGAGGAAGGUGCAGCGUGAUGCAGGGCUGGAGUCAGGCUUCCUGUGAUAAUGCAGUAAUAAUUAUUUGGAAUGUUAUUAGUAGAGGAACUCCAGUCUGAGGGCCUGGGAGGCAGAAAUGGCUGGUUCUAGAUACACAAAGUCAUAAAUGCACCUGACAGUAUCCGUGGUUAAGGAAAGGGAGGAAUACUCCAGGCCUGUGCUUUCCUCAUGCCUGUGAAUACACAAACAAGUACCAGCACUACUGCUCAGACCAUCAAUCACGGGCGGUCAUACAACACAAAGCAUGCCAAGUGUUAUACAGCUGAGACUCUCAAAAAAAAAUAAUUUUGUGUGACCCUUCUUCAGUAGCUGUCAAGUCAUAAUGUCAGGACACAUCUUAUCAUAGAGGAAGAUGAUGAUUUUAUUUCACAUUGCAGUGGACAUAUUUAUUCACCAUAGAGUAAUAUUUUUUAGAAUGACCAGGGAUAAAUGAGCUGCAAUUAAUACAUUCCUAUAAGAAUCUGAAAAUUAACUGAUGAUUUUAUCCGGAUUUCACUCGAAGAGAAGAUUAAUGACCUGUGGGUUAUCAGCUUUCUUACUUGUUAUUCCUUAUCUACCUGUAAUCACACCACAGACCUACAGUUCUUUGAGAUCAAGAGAUGCAGAAGCAAGUGGAGAAAUGCCCAGAGAAGGAGUGGCCACUUGCUCUUCUUCCCAACUGUAACUGCAAGAAACUGGAUGUGGGAGGUCUCCUUGAUGACCCUUCCUUAGAGUGGCAGGGGAAGGGCCCAUCACUGCUUCUCAUGAAUGAGUGCAGUAGCCCUUUCUAGUGAGAGACAUGCCUGGAGACGAGCCCAGAGAAUGAAAUCCUGCACCAGAAGAGGAGAAAGGAGGAAAAGAAUAAGGAAAGUUAAUGAUUCUCUUUCAAACAGAAGAACCACAUGGACUAAUCUAGGAAGCCAUCUUAGUUAGUAACUAUGGGAGGAAACCCGACAUUAGAAAGUGCAUCCAUCUUCCUGGACAAAAGAAAAGAUCAACUUCCCAGAAACUUUUGUCAUGGAGUCAAUUCUUAUACAAUGACACGCAGUGCUAAAUAAAUCAUUUUUUGAAUUACAAAUUGAGGAUCCGUCGCCCUGGAUAAAUGUUAUUCAUUGGGGGGAGGGCAGGAAAGAAUGACUUAAGAAUAAUUGUCUACAAGUAUUCAGAAGAGAAUCCAAUUUGUCACUCCCAUUUUGAAGUGCCAGUGCAAAAGUUGUUGGCAGCUUUUAAAAUCUCUCCUUUGGCUUUCAAGUAAUAUGUGUAUGGUUAAAAGCCAGUUAGAGAAUGGUGGUGUGAUUUCGUGAUGCAAGGCAAAUGGCACGAUUUAAAGUUUUGUUGAAAUCUGCUGUCUUUACAGGCUUAGAUAAGGCCUUUAUUUGUUUUAGUCAUGCUUGGCUGUCCUAUUCAGCAUAGUUACCAGACUGAUAUUAACAAGAUUCAAUGUGUGAAAGUAAUGCCAUCACUUUGAAUUUUGCAACAUGGUCUCUUCAAGGUCAGGUCUUUUUCAGCUGUUUAAAAAAUGCGAUGACCAACUAUACAUUCAAGCAAAAGAAGUUGUUCUCUCUUGCCAAAAAAGUGACCAUAUCAUUCGUCACUGCCCUAAGUACCUGUAAGCUGAGGUUGUAUUCUUCUCUGCAGUUCACACUAACAGAAUUAAUCUACAAGUGUCAGCAGGAAACACUCAAUUUACCUGACAAACCAUAAAACAAUAUGUUGCAAAGAAACUUUGGACUCUGCCAAUGUGCCAGUCAAUAGGUAUGUGCGAUGAAUCAUCAAACAAAUAUUUCAGUGCAUGGGGAAAAAAAUAAAUCUAGGUUCAGCCCACAUGCCAAUCAAUCAGAGAUUGCCUGAAGAAUCAUGGAACACAUUUGGAGACAAGUAAAAAAUUUCUAGGCUCUGCCAGGAUGCUGGGCCAAUCAAUCACAGUGUGGCUGAUGAAUCAUGAAACACACUCUGCAGCAUGUCAGCACACAUACGUGGUUGGCACAGUUCUCAUCAUCCCGAGUUUGUCUUGCAGUUAAAUUGACUGAAGGUGAGUUAUAGGACUGUUUUUUCUCCCACCUACUGACCUCUGCAACCAGCCACUCUUAAAUCCACUUGCCCUGCGCUUCGUUAAAAGUGCAGAUUCAAAACAAAGGUUCAACACAAGAGCAAACAUGGUUUCGAUGUCAGACGAGUUGUUAACAUGCUGCUGAAAGCUGUUGAACACGUAUUUUGACAACAGAACAGACACCUACAAGAGU